GCUAAUACAUGCAAGUUGAACGAUGAUUUCUGGUACUUGUAUCAGAAUGAAGAGUAGCGAACGGGUGAGUAACGCGUGGGUAACCUACCUCUUAGCGGGGGACAACUAUUAGAAACGAUAGCUAAUACCGCGUAACAAUAUUAAACACAUGCUUAACAUUUGAAAGUACCAAUUGGUACACUAGGAGAUGGACCCGCGUUGCAUUAGCUAGUUGGUAGUGUAAUGGACUACCAAGGCGAUGAUACAUAGCCGAUCUGAGAGGGUGAUCGGCCACAUUGGGACUGAGACACGGCCCAAACUCCUACGGGAGGCAGCAGUAGGGAAUCUUCGGCAAUGGACGAAAGUCUGACCGAGCAACGCCGCGUGAGUGAAGAAGGUUUUCGGAUCGUAAAACUCUGUUGUUAGAGAAGAACGUUGUGUAGAGUGGAAAAUUACACAAGUGACGGUAUCUAACCAGAAAGGGACGGCUAACUACGUGCCAGCAGCCGCGGUAAUACGUAGGUCCCGAGCGUUGUCCGGAUUUAUUGGGCGUAAAGCGAGCGCAGGUGGUUUAAUAAGUCUGAUGUAAAAGGCAGUGGCUCAACCAUUGUGUGCAUUGGAAACUGUUAGACUUGAGUGCAGUAGAGGAGAGUGGAAUUCCAUGUGUAGCGGUGAAAUGCGUAGAUAUAUGGAGGAACACCGGUGGCGAAAGCGGCUCUCUGGACUGUAACUGACACUGAGGCUCGAAAGCGUGGGUAGCAAACAGGAUUAGAUACCCUGGUAGUCCACGCCGUAAACGAUGAGUGCUAGUUGUUUGGGGCUAUCCAGCCCUAAGUGACGCAGCAAACGCAUUAAGCACUCCGCCUGGGGAGUACGACCGCAAGGUUGAAACUCAAAGGAAUUGACGG
rnacentral:rRNA from 1 species